GAUGAACGCUGGCGGCGUGCCUAAUACAUGCAAGUCGAGCGAACCAAAGAGAGCUUGCUCUCUGAGGUUAGCGGCGGACGGGUGAGUAACACGUGGGUAACCUGCCUGUAAGACGGGGAUAACUUCGGGAAACCGAAGCUAAUACCGGAUGAUAAAGAGAAACGCCUGUUUCUCUUUUGAAAGUCGGCCUUGUGCUGACGCUUACAGAUGGGCCCGCGGCGCAUUAGCUAGUUGGUGAGGUAACGGCUCACCAAGGCGACGAUGCGUAGCCGACCUGGGAGGGUGAUCGGCCACACUGGGACUGAGACACGGCCCAGACUCCUACGGGAGGCAGCAGUAGGGAAUCUUCGGCAAUGGACGAAAGUCUGACCGAGCAACGCCGCGUGAGCGAUGAAGGCCUUCGGGUCGUAAAGCUCUGUUGUCAGAGAAGAACAAGUACCGGAGUAACUGCCGGUACCUUGACGGUACCUAACCAGAAAGCCACGGCUAACUACGUGCCAGCCGCCGCCGUAAAAC
rnacentral:rRNA from 1 species